GAGUUUGAUCAUGGCUCAGAACGAACGCUGGCGGCGUGGAUAAGACAUGCAAGUCGGACGAGAUUUUUCGUUGUAGCAAUACGAUGGAAAGUCUAGUGGCGAACGGGUGCUUAACACGUGGGCAACCUGCCAGGAAGUGGGGGACAGCUCGCCGAAAGGCGGAUUAAUACCGCAUGUGAUUAGAGAGGACAUCCUUUCGAAAUUAAAGUCGGGGCAACCUGACGCUUCUUGUGGGGCCCGCGGCCUAUCAGCUAGUUGGUGAGGUAACGGCUCACCAAGGCUUUGACGGGUAGCUGGUCUGAGAGGACGACCAGCCACACUGGGACUGAGACACGGCCCAGACACCUACGGGUGGCAGCAGUCGAGAAUUUUUGACAAUGGGGGAAACCCUGAUCGAGCGACGCCGCGUGGAGGAUGAAGGUCUUCGGAUUGUAAACUCCUGUCAUUGGGGGACAAGGUGCAUACGUUAACUGCGUGUGCAUUGAUAGUACCCGAAGAGGAAGAGACGGCUAACUCUGUGCCAGCAGCCGCGGUAAUACAGAGGUCUCA
rnacentral:rRNA from 1 species